rnacentral:rRNA from 1 species
CCUACGGGAGGCAGCAGUGAGGAAUAUUGGUCAAUGGGCGAGAGCCUGAACCAGCCAAGUAGCGUGAAGGAUGACUGCCCUACGGGUUGUAAACUUCUUUUAUAAAGGAGUAAAGUGAGGCACGUGUGCCUUUUUGUAUGUAUUUUAUGAAUAAGGAUCGGCUAACUCCGUGCCAGCAGCCGCGGUAAUACGGAGGAUCGGAGCGUUAUCCGGAUUUAUUGGGUUUAAAGGGAGCGUAGAUGGGUUGUUAAGUCAGUUGUGAAAGUUUGGGGCUCAACCCUAAAAUUGCAAUUGAUACUGGCAGCCUUGAGUACAGUAGAGGUAGGCGGAAUUCGUGGUGUAGCGGUGAAAUGCUUAGAUAUCACGAAGAACUCCGAUUGCGAAGGCAGCCUACUAGACUGCUACUGACAUUGAUGCUCGAAAGUGUGGGUAUCAAACAGGAUUAGAUACCCCUGUAGUC